UACGUAGGGUGCAAGCGUUGUCCGGAAUUAUUGGGCGUAAGGAGCUUGUAGGCGGUUUGUCGCGUCUGCUGUGAAAUUUCGGGGCUCAACCCCGAACUUGCAGUGGGUACGGGCAGACUAGAGUGUGGUAGGGGAGACUGGAAUUCCUGGUGUAGCGGCGAAAUGCGCAGAUAUCAGGAGGGACACCGAUGGCGAAGGCAGGUCUCUGGGCCACUACUGACGCUGAGAAGCGAAAGCAUGGGGAGCGAACAGG
rnacentral:rRNA from 1 species